rnacentral:rRNA from 1 species
UGGGGAAUAUUGCACAAUGGGCGCAAGCCUGAUGCAGCGACGCCGCGUGGGGGAUGACGGCCUUCGGGUUGUAAACCUCUUUCAGCAGGGACGAAGCGAAAGUGACGGUACCUGCAGAAGAAGCACCGGCCAACUACGUGCCAGCAGCCGCGGUAAUACGUAGGGUGCGAGCGUUGUCCGGAAUUACUGGGCGUAAAGAGCUCGUAGGUGGUUUGUCGCGUUGUUCGUGAAAACCGGGGGGCUUAACCCUCGGCGUGCGGGCGAUACGGGCAGACUAGAGUACUGCAGGGGAGACUGGAAUUCCUGGUGUAGCGGUGGAAUGCGCAGAUAUCAGGAGGAACACCGGUGGCGAAGGCGGGUCUCUGGGCAGUAACUGACGCUGAGGAGCGAAAGCGUGGGGAGCGAACAGGAUUAGAUACCCUGGUAGUCCACGCCGUAAACGGUGGGUACUAGGUGUGGGGUUUCCUUCCUUGGGAUCCGUGCCGUAGCUAACGCAUUAAGUACCCCGCCUGGGGAGUACGGCCGCAAGGCUAAACUCAAAUGAAUUGACGGGGUCAUAGC